rnacentral:lncRNA from 1 species
UGCGCUGCUGCCAAGGAGAACAACACUCCAAAACUUUCCUCUAGUCUUUAAGAAAAGUACCUUCAGCUAUGAAACCUUGCAUGUGUUAAGUACAACACACAUCACAUCUACAGAUUUCAGAACUGUAACAAAUGUACACCAGCUUUCAAAUCCGGCUUUCACACACUCAAAAAUGAGAAUGCAUACCAAGUCUUCAGUAGGAACUUCUUGUGGAAGCAUGCUUUUCUCCUCAGAUUAGAUACUCAAAGAGGCAAACGCACCAUAACCUGCAACUGAGUUUAAGCAAAGAUUGAACAGGACAUUAACAAAUACUUCCAAUUUCGGAUUCUUGAUCUGUGCUGACUAUAAUGCCCUUUGUUUGAAUUACAGUAAUUUAUGCAGUCUAAAAUAGAUCAGUAUUCCUAAUGAAUGAUUUCUCCAGAUGGAUUCAAAGGCUUUCAUCCUCUUCAUUAACAACCAAAGCACUGGCAUACUGUAGUGGAAGCAAUCAAUAGAACCUCAGGCUAAUAUAAAUCGUUGGAAGAAAGGAAAGCCCAAACAAUUACGUAGUAACUUCUUCCAAAGCACUUCACUCCAGAACUGUAAUGCAAUAACUGGCUCAUUUUCUGUAUCCAUAAUUUGUCCCAACUUAAGCAUCAGCUCGUUGUUGGCUACUUGUCACAUAUACUUAAGAGGAAAAGAGAAAACUGACUAUUCUUGGUGGGUGUUAUGUUUUCUUUUUGGAGGAGGGCAGGCUGAAGAGAAGGGAGGGGGCAGCAGCAAGUCUACAAUGUUAAAGCCAGUUUAGACUUCAGUUGAUUAAAGCCUUCAUUACCCAGGUAAGUCUACUAUUUCUCAUCACUGCAAGACUAGAACCCCACUCAAGAUGCUGAACAAAGUAUAUGUAGGUUUAUAGGGAAGAAGAUCUGAGUUUAAUGAAUUAGCUUGUAGUGAGACUAUGACAGUGCUGCUUAAGGUUUUUUCUACCAUUUUAAUCACACACACAAAAAAAAGUUCCUUUGAAUUCUUGGGCUCUUUAACAUGUUUGGUUAACGUUAGAAUUACAGCACCGCAUAUAACUCACACUAAUUAUUUAUAUAAUGAAAACAGGACAGAGGAAGGUUAGCUGCAGUCUGCCAAGUGCUAAUUGCAAUCUAUCCAGAUUCUUCCACCCAGCACCUGCCAGAGGCAGGAUAUGGGCUGCGCUGUUUUGACAGUUCCCUUUUGCUAUCUUUCCUUGACUCCCCACCUACUCCCACAACAUUUUCCAUUAGAUGAAGUCACAGGAAAGAAAGACUGGAGAUGUGCCAGCUGCUAACAGUCCUACCAGAACAACUGAUACUGUCUGGAAGCCAUUCCCAGCACACAUCAGAGCAACCCUGGCAACAGAAUGCUGCGAUGCAGUAAUUCCUUCAGAGAGAACAAAAUUUAAAGAGAACAGCAGCACACCUAACCUUUACUAGUAGUAGGGAAAAAGUGAAAGCCUAAUCCUAAUCAAAUGACCUCGGCAGAACCAAGCUGCUUUGUUCUACACAAGGCAUUUACUCUGCUACAAGCACGCUUGAUAUAAACCACUAUGCACAGAAAACCUCUUGAUAUGGUAUUUUCUGUGCCUCAGCAGUAGGAUGCAAACUAAGAGUCAGCAACAUACAGCUUCA